GCAAGUCGAACGCGAACGUUUCCUUCGGGGAACUAGUAGAGUGGCGCACGGGUGAGUAACGCGUAAGUAAUCUACCCUCGCAUCUGGGAUAACCCACCGAAAGGUGUGCUAAUACCUGAUACGUCUAUGUUAAUAUCUUUUUUAUAGAGAAAGGUGGCCUCUUGAUUCAAAGCUACUGUGCGGGGAGGAGCUUGCGUACCAUUAGCUAGUUGGUAGGGUAACGGCCUACCAAGGCGACGAUGGUUAGCGGGUCUGAGAGGAUGAUC
rnacentral:rRNA from 1 species